rnacentral:pre_miRNA from 1 species
GAUUAUCAUCAGGGAUUGUUUCAUAGACCCAGAUUCAAUUUCUGAUGUUCAAGAAAAUGAAUUUUGGUCUAAGAAACAUUCCUUGAUGAUGGUC